rnacentral:rRNA from 1 species
UACGGGGGGGGCAAGCGUUGUUCGGAAUUACUGGGCGUAAAGGGCCAGUAGGCGGCCAACUAAGUCACACGUGAAAUCCCCAGGCUUAACCUGGGAACUGCGUGUGAUACUGGAUGGCUUGAAUUCGGGAGAGGGAUGCAGAAUUCCAGGUGUAGCGGUGAAAUGCGUAGAUAUCUGGAGGAAUACCGGUGGCGAAGGCGGCAUCCUGGACCGACACUGACGCGUGAGGCGCGAAAGCUAGGGGAGCAAACGGG